rnacentral:rRNA from 1 species
UGGGGAAUAUUGCACAAUGGGCGCAAGCCUGAUGCAGCCAUGCCGCGUGUAUGAAGAAGGCCUUCGGGUUGUAAAGUACUUUCAGUCGGGAGGAAGGUGGUAAGGUUAAUAACCUUAUCAAUUGACGUUACCGACAGAAGAAGCACCGGCUAACUCCGUGCCAGCAGCCGCGGUAAUACGGAGGGUGCAAGCGUUAAUCGGAAUUACUGGGCGUAAAGCGCACGCAGGCGGUUUGUUAAGUCAGAUGUGAAAUCCCCGGGCUCAACCUGGGAACUGCAUUCGAAACUGGCAGGCUAGAGUCUUGUAGAGGGGGGUAGAAUUCCAGGUGUAGCGGUGAAAUGCGUAGAGAUCUGGAGGAAUACCGGUGGCGAAGGCGGCCCCCUGGACAAAGACUGACGCUCAGGUGCGAAAGCGUGGGGAGCAAACAGG